UUGGAGGGCAAGUCUGGUGCCAGCAGCCGCGGUAAUUCCAGCUCCGAAUAGCGUAUAUUAAAGUUGUUGCAGUUAAAAAGCUCGUAGUUGAAUUUCGGGAUUAGUACGUCGGUCGUGCCUUAGGUACGUACUGGUGUUACUGGUUCCUACCUUCUGACGAACCAUCAUGUCAUUAAUUUGGUGUGGUGGGGAAUCAGGACUGUUACUUUGAAAAAAUUAGAGUGUUUAAAGCAGGCUCGCGCUUGAAUACAUUAGCAUGGAAUAAUGAAAUAGGACG
rnacentral:rRNA from 1 species